rnacentral:rRNA from 1 species
UGAGGAAUAUUGGUCAAUGGACGAGAGUCUGAACCAGCCAAGUAGCGUGAAGGAUGACUGCCCUAUGGGUUGUAAACUUCUUUUAUACGGGAAUAAAGUGAGGCACGUGUGCCUUUUUGUAUGUACCGUAUGAAUAAGGAUCGGCUAACUCCGUGCCAGCAGCCGCGGUAAUACGGAGGAGCCGAGCGUUAUCCGGAUUUAUUGGGUUUAAAGGGAGCGUAGGCGGACGCUUAAGUCAGUUGUGAAAGUUUGCGGCUCAACCGUAAAAUUGCAGUUGAUACUGGGUGUCUUGAGUACAGUAGAGGCAGGCGGAAUUCGUGGUGUAGCGGUGAAAUGCUUAGAUAUCACGAAGAACUCCGAUUGCGAAGGCAGCCUGCUGGACUGUAACUGACGCUGAUGCUCGAAAGUGUGGGUAUCAAACAGG